CCCGGCCCGGAUCCAGCCCCAACCCACCACCACCACCACCAGCUCCACUCCCCUCCGGUUUCCGCCGCCCGCCGAAGCCGCCUCCGGCAAGGAUCCGGCUGGCGACACCGCCCCUUCCCCGGCGGCCCGCCCGCGGCCAGGCGCGCCCUUUCCUCCCUCCCCGCGCUCUGGCCGGGGCCGGUCUGCUCCUCCCUCCUCUCUUCGCCCGGGGCCCCGGGCCCUGCCUCCCGCCUCGCCUCGCACCCGUUUCGAUUUUGCUCGUCCUCGAUUCGUCGUCUGUUUAGGUUUAGAACCGCGCAAGAUUUAGUUUUUUCUCGUGCUCGAUUCGUCCGUUUGGGAUUGCGCCUGGUUUGAUUUCGCUCGUCCUCGCCGUCGCCCGUUUGGGGUCGUGUCCGGUUCGAUUUUGCUCGUCGCCUUCGUCCGUUUAGAGUCGCCGUCCGGUUCGAUUUUGCUCGUUGCCGUCGUCCGUGUGGAGUCGCCGUCGGGUUCGAAUUGGCUCGUUGCCGUCGUCCGUUUAGUCCGAUUCGAUUUUGCUCGUCCUCACCGUCGUCCGUGUAGAGUCGCGUCCGGUUCGAUCUUGCUCGUCCUCGCCGUCGUCCGUUUAGAGCCGCGCCUCGUUCGAUUUCGCUCGCUCUCGCCGUUGUCCCGAUGCGCUCGCGUGUUCUUGGCCCGUCUCGCCUCGUCGGAGGUCUCCGUCUCAGUUUGCGAACUAGCAAUUCUUUCUGCGUGCGCUUCUGUUGUCCGAGAGAGAGAUCCUGGGUUUCGUGUUCGCGUCGGUUGCAGGAACGAACGGGUCUGGUUUGAAAUUGGAUUACGGCGGGAGAUGGGGAGCAUCGUUCGUUUAUCGUGCUACUUCAGACCUGUUCCUCUGUUGCUCUUGGUGAUUUUCAGAACUCAAACGCAUGCUCUCUUGUGCUACUCUGUCAAUUCUUGCCCCUCUGUCAGUUCUUGUUGGCCCUCUGUCAAUUCUUGAGUUCCAGGGUCCGUUAACUCUUGAGUUCUUGUUGUACCGGCUAGGCGUGUGUGUUCUGAUGGUGUGUACUGUUUUAUGUUCUUUCCAAUUUGUUUCUUUUUAUCAUGCUUUGCCUGCUGCUUAACUAAUUGAACACCUGCUACUGCUACUGUUGGACAAGGUUCCUUCUUUUCUUCCUGAUGUUGCUACUUCCAUUGAAGUACUCAUAGGAGUUCUAGAUGAGCUGCUGCUAGUUAGUUCCCCUUAGACUACAUUCUAGAUUGCAUAGCAUAACUCCAGAAUUUUGCCAUUGCACACCUGGGCAUAUAAUUCUGUUGUGAGCAUAACUCCAGAAUUUAUUUAUCCAUGAAAGCACGUCCAUCACAUGUUUUUUUAUCAAUGAUGCUAAAUUCUGUCAUGUCCCUUUCCUUUGGACAACAAUUUCAACAAACCUAUAACGUGGACAUGUGCUGCUUGUUUUCUUGUGAUGAUGCUGAUCCAGUUGACGUGCCCAACUCUUAUGCUGUGACAUUUGUUAAUCCCCAGUUAGUGUGCCUGAAAAAAUUAUUGUUUGUCCUGUUAAAUUUUACGGCAUCAACUCGGUAUUCUGAUUAAUGACCUAGUAUUUGUUUAGUGUAGCCAGCUAACUUCUUUUUUCUCAAUUUUUUAGUGAUAUGUGUGUUUUGUUAUGUCUUAUGUUGAAUAAUGACCUAGUAUUACUCAUGUCCAGUCACUGGAAUAAUGCUUUUCAUGAUUUUCCUAGACUUUGUGACAAUUAAUUUAUAGUGCUAUCAUUUUUCAUUGAUCAUUGAGCUUCUGACAUCCUAUUGCGUAAAAUUCUGUUUUAAUGUUUGUUUGAUCAUUGAGUAGUUAAUAUUGAUUCUGCGUGCACUUCUGUUAUCUGAGAGACACACGCGAAGUCACGAUCCUGCGUUUCGUGUUUGCGGCGGAGCGAUGAACGAUUACGUUUCGUGUUCCUGCAUUUUGUGUUCGCCGUCUGGUUUUGAAUUUGGAUUACGGAGACGGGGAGAGGCCAGCAAGGUCAGUUUCAGAUCGGUUCCGUUGCUGUGUUGUUCGUUGGCGAUUUCCAGACCUCAAAUGCAUGCGCCCUUGUGAUACUCUGGUUUGGCUCGCUGGUCGUUACGGUUGUUCUUAUGUUCUUGAAUAACCCCAUCUUAUACACAGAGAUGAGGUGAUUCGUUAGGGUUCUUCUGAUGGUUGCUUAUGUUCUUUCGAAUUGGGUUCUUCUUGUAAUGCUUUGCUUAUGUUCCCAGUGUCUGUCUUUCCAUAUAUGGGGAUGCGUUGAGAGGUGCAAACCGUGUAGCCCGUGGUGUUUUUUAUACUAUCUAUGGUGUGUUUUAUACUAUCUUAUGUGGAACGUAGAAAUAUUGAUAUCACUUCUGUGCUAGUAUACUAGAUAUGGUGUGUUUUAUCCAAGUUAUUAACCACAUCUCUUACAAAUUAUCCUUGAGACGGUACAUGUUUAUAUGCCAGGAGUGAUUGAUGUCUUGACGAAUAUAAUCAUUUAUGCUAACUUGGUAUUGGUAGUUCCUGAGGUAACACACCAGUACUUGUUUAGUGCAGACAAUUGACUAUUCUUUUUUCUGAACUUUUUUGUGAUGUGUGUUAUGUGGAUAUCAUAUUCUAAUGCUUUUCUAAGUAUUUAAGGUACAGACUUGUGGAUCUGGACAUGUCACAUUUGCUCUUUAUUGGGUUGCUAAGGACACUGAACAGUUUGGCUGGGCCACUGCACGGCCUGGCUAAUCAGGAAGUGUUGCUAGAUCAAAUCUGUAAUGGAAGAGACUGGGAGUAACAUUACAACCAACCAACUUAAAGAAUAUGUAUGGAAGACACUGAAGAGUGGAAAGGUUGUAGUGAUUAGAGAGAAGCUUGCAGAACUGUAUGAAUCUGAACAACAAUGGUUGAGAGCAGCACAAAUGCUUAGUGGCAUUGACUUGGACUCAGGAAUCAGGAUGCUUGAUGACACGAACAAAUUAUCCAAGUGCGUCCAGAUUGCACGACUCUAUUUGGAGGAUGAUGAUGAUGCAGUGAAUGCUGAAGCCUUUAUCAACAAAGCCUCGUUUUGGGUCACAAACAGCAACCAGGAAAUUCUGAACUUACAAUACAAGGUCUGCUAUGCGAGAAUUUUAGAUCUAAAGCGUAAAUUCUUGGAAGCUGCACUUUGAUACUAUGGUAUCUCUCAAAUUGAGCAACGCCAAAUUGGGGAUGAGUUGUUCCUGGCUGUGGUCAUGGAGUUCUACAUAAUACAGACCAAAGAUAUUCGUGCCAAAGGGAGUUCGCAUUGAAAUAUUUACCCGAGGACCCACUUCUCCAACUAGUUAGUUAGAAUCCUUCAUCUAACUGCAUGGGUUCUCUUCGGUUCGACAGUCUCAGUGCAACAUAUUAUUAUUCCCUUUCAGGAAUGAAGAUCUGAAUCACCCUCACCCCUCUAGAGAAAUCAGUUUACUCAUUCAAGUUCUGGAAUUUCUUUAUAGUUUUCUGAGUUACUUCGGUCUUGCAUGUAUUAGCUUUCUCUUUGUGCCCCUAUCUAUGCCUGUUUCUUGUGUGCAAGCGCUCCAUUCUGUGUGGGUGUGUGACUUGAUGGUGAAUAUGUGUGUGGCUUGACUCUUUGUGUGUGGCUUGACUGUGUGUGUGAGAUUGUGUGUGGCUUGAUGGUGAAUAUGUGUGUGGCUUGACUGUGUGUGUGUGUGUGGCUUGACUGUGUGUGUGUGGCUUGACUAUGUGUGUGUGUGGCUUGACUGUGUGUGUGAGAUUGUGUGUGGCUCUUGAUGGUGAAUAUGUGUGUGGCUUGACUCUGUGUGAAUAUUGCAUUUGCUUGAUGGUGUGGCUUGUAUAACUUGUGUUUUAUAUGUCACAAUUGAUUGUUAUUUAUUGAAUGUGAACUUUUUUGUGAUUAUGUCUUAUGUGGAUAUCAUAUUCUUUUUUGUAUUACUGCUGUCCAGUCACUGGAAUAACGCUUUUCUAAGUAUUUAAGGUACAGACAUGUGGAUCUGGACAUGUCACAUUGGCUCUUUAUUGUGUUGCUAAGGACACUAAUGGGUUGUGUUUGCAUACAAUGCAGUAUGGACCAACAAAAUGGUCUCAUUGCAAGGUGGACGUAUAGGCAAGCAAUGUCAAGAGAGAGAGAAGCUUGGACUAUGGAGGAGGAACAUGCACUGAUUAAUGCCCAUCGGGUAUAUGGGAAUAAAUGGGCAGAAAUAGCAAAAGUUCUUCCUAGAAUGAAUCGAGUACUUCUAUUUGUUCUCAGGUUCUUCUCACCUAUAGCUAAAGUCAAAGACGACAAACCAAGUGGAUUAUUGGACUUGCAAGAUACACAGAAUCAUCGGCUAGCCAUCGGCUUGGAAGCGACGAGAGGCAACCACUGUUGUCAACUUGAAACGUAUAAUCUUUUAGGAACGAAGAUCUGAAUCACCCUCACCCCUCGAGAGAAAUGUGUUUAGUCAUUCAGGUUCUGGAAUUUCUUUAUAGCUUUCUGGUUUAGUUCAGUCCUAUCUAUGUAUUUGCUUUGUGUUUGUGCCCUAUCUAUGUCUGUUUCUUUUUGUUUCUUGUGUGCAAGCGCUCCAUUCUGUGUGUGUUUGACUGUGUGUGGCUUUGACUCUCUUGUGUGUGUGGCUUGACUGUCUGUGUGUGUGACUGUGUUUGACCGUGUGUGUGACUGUGUGUGAAUGUUGCAUUUGACUGUGAUGUGUGACUGUGUGUGUGACUAUGUGUUUGACUCUCUGUGUGUGACUCUGAAUAUUGUGCAUUUGACUGUGAUGUGUGACUGUGUGUGUGACUAUGUGAAUAUUGCAUUUUGACUGUGACUGUGUGUGAUCGUGUGUGGUUGACUCUGUGUGUGUGGCUUGUAUGCUUUGUUGAAUGAUUGGUUGUUGUGGCUUAACACUGCCUUUGCCGGUCUCAAGCCCGGAUGUGAAAAUGUGGAAGGGAGUCUGUUUCUGUCUGUUUCUUGUGUGCAAGUGCUACACUGUGUGUGUGACUGUGCGUGUGUGAUCGUGUGUGGCUUGACUCUCUGUGUGUGUGGCCUGUAUGCUUUGCUGAAUGAUUGAUUGUUGUGGCUUAACACUGCCUUUGCCGGUCCCAAGCCCGGAUGUGAAAAUGUGGUGGGAGUCUGUUUUUGUCUGCUUCUUGUGUGCAAGUGCUACACUGUGUGUGUGACUGUGUGUGUGAUGUGCCCAUAUCUAUGUCUGUUUCUUUGUCUUUUUUGCGUGCAAGCGCUUGGUUGUGUGUGUGUGUGUGUGUGUGUGUGUGUGUGUGUGUUGCAUUUGCUUGAUGGUGUGGCCUGUAUGCUUUGCUGAAUGAUUGGUGUUGUAUAACUUGCGUUUUGUGUUGUUGUGGCUUAACACUGCCUUUGCCGGUCCCAAGCCCGAAUGCGAAAAUGUGGAGGGAGCCGCAGUUACCUCCUCUGUAUUGUUUGCCUUAGAAGUGUGGAUAGAAAUUACUCUGUACUAACUGAAUAGUGAAUCUUCACAUAAUAUCGUACCACAUGAUUCAAGCUCUGAAAUGCAUCAUUCCUUGCUAUGAAAAAUUUAGCAAUUGUAAUUGCUGUUAGAGUUUGUCCCGUCUCCUAAAUUAAUCUCGCUGGUUUCUUAGAUCUUGUCAGCACCAACGAUCUUUUCUGCUAAUAAUCAGUCAUCUGCUUUUGUUAUUUGGCUUUAGGAAAUUAAUCUCGCUGGCUUCUUAAAUCUUGUCAGCACCGAUGAUCUUUACUGCUAAUAAUCAGUCAUCUGCUUUUGUUAUUUGGCUUUAGGUUGAAUUUUAUGGUUUUUCAUGCACGAAUCUCAGCGUCAUAGGUGUCGCUCAUUUGUCUGUCACUCGCGAGUGCGUGUCGGGUUUAUUUGUUGUUGGGCUUUUUAUUCGGGUUGUGGGUCCUUGUUUGGACUCCGACCGUGUGGGGGUGUCCUUUUCAGUUGUGUGCCAUUUUCUAGAGGGGGUGAGCUGCUGAGUGUGUGUGAGAGAGGGAAGGGGGUGGGGAAGAGCUGACUUCGGCGCACGGCCAGUGAGGCACUGUGUAGGCUCGUGCGUAGCUAACUUCGGCGCACGGCUUGUAAGGCACUAUGUAGGCCCUCUUUGAUUCAAAUCAUCUUCGAGGAAGAGCAGGCACCUCAUUCCCGUCCGAGAGCCAAAAACCAAUUCUCCUCAGAGUUCGAGUGCAGCUGUGCGGGGCGAUGGGUAGCCAUCCAGCCCAAC